rnacentral:rRNA from 1 species
AUUGAACGCUGGCGGCAGGCCUAACACAUGCAAGUCGAACGAGUGGCGGACGGGUGAAUAAUGUCUGGGAAACUGCCUGAUGGAGGGGGAUAAAUUCUGGAAACGGUAGCUAAUACCACAUACUCUCGGAUGUGCCCAUAGGGGAUUAGCUAGUAGGUGGGGUAAAGGCUCACCUAGGCGACGCUCCCUAGCUGGUCUGAGAGGAUGACCAGCCACACUGGAACUGAGACACGGUCCAGACUCCUACGGGAGGCAGCAGUGGGGAAUAUUGCACAAUGGGCGCAAGCCUGAUGCAGCCAUGCCGCGUGUAUGAAGAAGGCCUUAGGGUUGUAAAGUACUUUCAGCGGGGAGGCGUUACCCGCAGAAGAAGCACCGGCUAACUCCGUGCCAGCAGCCGCGGUAAUAC